UUUCGUGCGUGUAAAAAAUGUUAACUUGUAAAUUUUAUAAGAAAAAACUCAUAAAAACCCAAUAAAAUUAAAGAAAAUUAUAUAAAAAUGUUAAGAAAAUUAUAAUUUAUAAAGAUAUUCUUUUAAAAGAAAAAUAACUAUUUUAAAUGUGAAACUGAAAAACACUUAAAAAAAAUAUGCUGAUAACGUCCUUUAACGGUCAAUCAUGUAUAUGGUUGGCCUUCCUAGCCAUUAACACUUGUAUGGCUUAUCAAAAUACU